rnacentral:lncRNA from 1 species
CUCUUACAUAGAGAUUUAAAAAUAUACACUUAAGAUGGAGUACAUGCUAAUAACUGUCCUAUAAUUUGAACACUACAUUAGAUAAUAUUAAGGAUGGUUUGCAUGUUUGGAACUCCUAUUCCUGAUUAACAAUACUUGCAGUACGUUUCACCCCCUCCAUUGGUGCUGUGUAAUUGUCCAUGUGAUGGUUUUCUGGGAAUAGGUUUAGUUCUGAGGCUGUAUCUGUGGCUAUUGAGUUGGCUUGUCUGCUGAGCAUCACAUUUAUUGCUCUGGACUUCGCUAUUACCAUUUCUCACACAUGGUUAUAAUCUGAUCUCCAAAGUCUCUCCUGUUUCUAAAAAUGUUGGUUUUAAUGCUGUAUUUUUUAAUAUGUCAGUAUAAAACUACUACUGGGAUUCCAAACAUGGUUAUAGCGAUGAUAACCUCAGUUGGUAAACUGCUGUGCUGACAUAAGGACCUGAGUUGAUUACUAGGACUCAUG